AUUGAACGCUGGCGUCAGGCCUAACACAUGCAAGUCGAGCGGAUGAAGGGAGCUUGCUCCUGGAUUCAGCGGCGGACGGGUGAGUAAUGCCUAGGAAUCUGCCUGGUAGUGGGGGAUAACGUCCGGAAACGGGCGCUAAUACCGCAUACGUCCUGAGGGAGAAAGUGGGGGAUCUUCGGACCUCACGCUAUCAGAUGAGCCUAGGUCGGAUUAGCUAGUUGGUGGGGUAAAGGCCUACCAAGGCGACGAUCCGUAACUGGUCUGAGAGGAUGAUCAGUCACACUGGAACUGAGAUACGGUCCAGACUCCUACGGGAGGCAGCAGUGGGGAAUAUUGGACAAUGGGCGAAAGCCUGAUCCAGCCAUGCCGCGUGUGUGAAGAAGGUCUUCGGAUUGUAAAGCACUUUAAGUUGGGAGGAAGGGCAGUAAGUUAAUACCUUGCUGUUUUGACGUUACCAACAGAAUAAGCACCGGCUAACUUCGUG
rnacentral:rRNA from 1 species